UGUAUAUCCAGAGAGUCAUAAUUACUAAUUUAUUAACCUGGCAUCAGAAUUAGAUCCAUUACUUAUGUAGAGCUCCAAGCUAUGCUUUGCCAAAAAGAUGAUACCAUCCUUCCCUGGCAGUGACAAGACAUCUAUAAUUCAGAGAUGUGAGGUAGUUGCAGCUGAAAAAAAUGCCUAAAAUUCCUAUAAUAAAAAUUCUGUGCUUAUAAAAUAUCUUCUAAGCACUGGCACCUACCUUCCUGCCACAAAAGAUCAGGAAGAAUUCUGGACCUUUCUCUACUGCUCCAAGAUUGUUUCCAUGCAAAACCGCAAAUCACAUAUUUUAAUCACACAAAUUUGCUCUUCUGUUCAGUAGAGAUCAGGGCACCUGAGACCAUGGGCUUCUCCUGAGGCCGUGGGCACCCGUGGCACAUUGGGGUGGAAAUUUCCCACGUACAUUUGCAAAGCUGCUGUACCACUAGUAAGAGUAAGAAGAAGCUGUGCAGCAGCACUGCCAUUGCCAUAGUAACUCAGCUCCAGAGCUGCUGGUGCUGCUGAUUCAAUUGUCAGAGCCUGUUUUAUCUUUUUCCAUUUCAAGCUCAAAUUUUUGCCUUGCUAAGAAACAAGAUAUAAGAAAUUAAGUCUUCAGGCUGCCUCAGGAUUCAUAAUGGGAUGUGAUUCCUUUUGAUCUUCUCUCCUCUUGGCAGAGAGAUUUAUGGCCUUACCAUAAAUCAUAAAACAAUCAUUAACCUUCAAGCAAACAUUUUUUAUCCCUUACAGUCAUGUGUAUCUUAUAAAUAUUGAGGAAUUAAGUCAGUUUUCAGUAAUUGAUGAAUUAAUUAACUUUUAAGUCACUUAUUAAAAUAUUUUUACUUUGGACUAGUUAAUCAUCAGUACUGGGAGAAACACAUAUUUGAUAUGAACAUGUGAUAUCACUCUUAUUCCUCUCAUGUCUUUUACAAACUGUCAAGAUCUCUGCACGACCUAUAAAACUAAUUUUAUAACCAGUGUGUAACUGAAUAAAUCUGUGUUUGCUGGAAAGAAAAAAUGUUAUGCAUUCAAAAGGGCCUCAGAAAACCUACAGAACACAGUGUCUUCUUAGCCUUUUCUUGCUUUACUCCCUCCUGAAAAAUAACAGCUCUCCAGGAAGCUGCAGAGGGCUGCAGAUUCAGCAGAAGCUCCUGGACUCCAGGAGCUGCCAGGGGAAGCUGGGCGCUGUGCCAGGCCCUGGGGUUAGACCUUAUGCGUUCCUGAGUGGGGAACAAGGUACAUGAAGCAGUUUUUAUUCCAGGCUUUUCUACCAAGUUCUUCAUUCUGGUAGAGUGGUCUUCCAGAGGUAGAGAAGAGUCUGAUUUUGAAUCCUCUUCACUGUGGGAAAGGCAAAGGAUGCAGUGAAAUGUGCAUAUCAGAAAGUCUCCCAGGAACUGAAGCACACUUUCGCAGAGCUCUUAAGGCCACUAAUGGAACUGUUUGCCAGACCCAGGACGGAUCCCUGAAGACCCUACUGAAAUACGUUGCCAUUUUUACAAUGAGCCAUUGAUAAUUGUACUCCUGGUAUUAUUUUGUAACUGGUUUCACAUCUAGUAAAAUAUAGU